GAGUUUGAUCCUGGCUCAGGAUGAACGCUGGCGGCGUGCUUAACACAUGCAAGUCGAACGGGCUCAUAUUGAAACCUAGUGAUGUAUGAGUUAGUGGCGGACGGGUGAGUAACGCGUGGAGAACCUGCCGUAUACUGGGGGAUAACACUUAGAAAUAGGUGCUAAUACCGCAUAAGCGCACAGCUUCGCAUGAAGCAGUGUGAAAAACUCCGGUGGUAUACGAUGGAUCCGCGUCUGAUUAGCUGGUUGGCGGGGUAACAGCCCACCAAGGCGACGAUCAGUAGCCGGCCUGAGAGGGUGAACGGCCACAUUGGGACUGAGACACGGCCCAAACUCCUACGGGAGGCAGCAGUGGGGAAUAUUGCACAAUGGGGGAAACCCUGAUGCAGCGACGCCGCGUGAGUGAAGAAGUAUUUCGGUAUGUAAAGCUCUAUCAGCAGGGAAGAAAUACUGACCUUACGGUCAGCAGACGGUACCUGACUAAGAAGCCCCGGCUAACUACGUGCCAGCAGCCGCGGUAAUACGUAGGGGGCAAGCGUUAUCCGGAUUUACUGGGUGUAAAGGGAGCGUAGACGGCAGCGCAAGUCUGAAGUGAAAUCCCAUGGCUUAACCAUGGAACUGCUUUGGAAACUGUGCAGCUGGAGUGCAGGAGAGGUAAGCGGAAUUCCUAGUGUAGCGGUGAAAUGCGUAGAUAUUAGGAGGGACACCAGUGGCGAAGGCGGCUUGCUGGACUGUAACUG
rnacentral:rRNA from 1 species